rnacentral:rRNA from 1 species
GAUGAACGCUGGCGGCGUGCCUAAUACAUGCAAGUCGAGCGAACGGACGAGAAGCUUGCUUCUCUGAUGUUAGCGGCGGACGGGUGAGUAACACGUGGAUAACCUACCUAUAAGACUGGGAUAACUUCGGGAAACCGGAGCUAAUACCGGAUAAUAUUUUGAACCGCAUGGUUCAAAAGUGAAAGACGGUCUUGCUGUCACUUAUAGAUGGAUCCGCGCUGCAUUAGCUAGUUGGUAAGGUAACGGCUUACCAAGGCAACGAUGCAUAGCCGACCUGAGAGGGUGAUCGGCCACACUGGAACUGAGACACGGUCCAGACUCCUACGGGAGGCAGCAGUAGGGAAUCUUCCGCAAUGGGCGAAAGCCUGACGGAGCAACGCCGCGUGAGUGAUGAAGGUCUUCGGAUCGUAAAACUCUGUUAUUAGGGAAGAACAUAUGUGUAAGUAACUGUGCACAUCUUGACGGUACCUAAUCAGAAAGCCACGGCUAACUACGUGCCAGCAGCCGCGGUAAUACGUAGGUGGCAAGCGUUAUCCGGAAUUAUUGGGCGUAAAGCGCGCGUAGGCGGUUUUUUAAGUCUGAUGUGAAAGCCCACGGCUCAACCGUGGAGGGUCAUUGGAAACUGGAAAACUUGAGUGCAGAAGAGGAAAGUGGAAUUCCAUGUGUAGCGGUGAAAUGCGCAGAGAUAUGGAGGAACACCAGUGGCGAAGGCGACUUUCUGGUCUGUAACUGACGCUGAUGUGCGAAAGCGUGGGGAUCAAACAGGAUUAGAUACCCUGGUAGUCCACGCCGUAAACGAUGAGUGCUAAGUGUUAGGGGGUUUCCGCCCCUUAGUGCUGCAGCUAACGCAUUAAGCACUCCGCCUGGGGAGUACGACCGCAAGGUUGAAACUCAAAGGAAUUGACGGGGACCCGCACAAGCGGUGGAGCAUGUGGUUUAAUUCGAAGCAACGCGAAGAACCUUACCAAAUCUUGACAUCCUUUGACAACUCUAGAGAUAGAGCUUUCCCCUUCGGGGGACAAAGUGACAGGUGGUGCAUGGUUGUCGUCAGCUCGUGUCGUGAGAUGUUGGGUUAAGUCCCGCAACGAGCGCAACCCUUAAGCUUAGUUGCCAUCAUUAAGUUGGGCACUCUAAGUUGACUGCCGGUGACAAACCGGAGGAAGGUGGGGAUGACGUCAAAUCAUCAUGCCCCUUAUGAUUUGGGCUACACACGUGCUACAAUGGGCAAUACAAAGGGCAGCGAAACCGUGAGGUCAAGCAAAUCCCAUAAAGUUGUUCUCAGUUCGGAUUGUAGUCUGCAACUCGACUACAUGAAGCUGGAAUCGCUAGUAAUCGUAGAUCAGCAUGCUACGGUGAAUACGUUCCCGGGUCU